GAUGAACGCUGGCGGCGUGCUUAACACAUGCAAGUCGAACGAACCUUCGGGUUAGUGGCGGACGGGUGAGUAACGCGUGAGAAUUUGCCCUCAGGAGGGGGACAACAGUUGGAAACGACUGCUAAUACCCCAUAUGCCGCGAGGUGAAAUGAAUUUCGCCUGAGGAUGAGCUCGCGUUUGAUUAGCUAGUUGGUGUAGGUAAUGGCUCACCAAGGCAUCGAUCAGUAGCUGGUCUGAGAGGAUGAUCAGCCACACUGGGACUGAGACACGGCCCAGACUCCUACGGGAGGCAGCAGUGGGGAAUUUUCCGCAAUGGGCGAAAGCCUGACGGAGCAACGCCGCGUGAGGGAUGAAGGCCUCUGGGCUGUAAACCUCUUUUAUCAAGGAAGAAGAUCUGACGGUACUUGAUGAAUAAGCCACGGCUAAUUCCGUG
rnacentral:rRNA from 1 species